UACGUAGGGCGCAAGCGUUAUCCGGAAUUAUUGGGCGUAAAGAGCUCGUAGGCGGUUUGUCGCGUCUGCCGUGAAAGUCCGGGGCUCAACUCCGGAUCUGCGGUGGGUACGGGCAGACUAGAGUGAUGUAGGGGAGACUGGAAUUCCUGGUGUAGCGGUGAAAUGCGCAGAUAUCAGGAGGAACACCGGUGGCGAAGGCGGGUCUCUGGGCAGUAACUGACGCUGAGGAGCGAAAGUGUGGGGAGCGAACAGG
rnacentral:rRNA from 1 species